AUGGACCAUGACAUUCCAUACAAUAGGUCCUAUGCGUGGGACUUGGAGGAUGAAGGCCCGGAUGAAGAAAUAGAUGAGGAUGGUUUGACGGCUAAAGAAGUCAAUGCUUUCAAGAAGGUAAUAGGUCGUAGUCACAAGACAUCAUUGUUCCAUGAUCUAAGCCUAGCCGAUAAGGCGAUUGUUGUUGGUGGCACAAGUAAAAUUCUUGCACCAAGGUUAACUUCAAAACGAGAUACCGAAGUAAGUGUGUAUGGUGUUAGUGAAGGAACAAUCUUUGAAAGCUUGGUAGAACUUCAAAUAUGGGCCAAGGACUACGCGGUUAAGUUUCAUCGGUCAUUCUUUGUGGAGAAGUCAAACUCCAAAGUGUGUUAUGUGGUCAAAUGUGAGGAACACAAGAAUCAUUGCCCUUGGGUUAUCCGUGCAAGAUGUGUCAAAGGCGGGCCACAAGGAAGAUUACAAGUUCCGUGUUUCACCAUCGAUGUAGUGGCAAGGAUAUUGAUGAUGCUAAUGUGA
rnacentral:rRNA from 1 species